GACGUAGGGCGCGAGCGUUGUCCGGAUUUAUUGGGCGUAAAGAGCUCGUAGGCGGCUUGUCGCGUCGUCCGUGAAAACCCACGGCUUAACUGUGGGCUUGCGGUCGAUACGGGCAGGCUGGAGUUCGGUAGGGGAGACUGGAAUUCCUGGUGUAGCGGUGAAAUGCGCAGAUAUCAGGAAGAACACCAGCGGCGAAGGCGGCACUCUGGGCCGGAACUGACGCUGAGGAGCGAAAGCGUGGGUAGCAAACAGG
rnacentral:rRNA from 1 species